rnacentral:rRNA from 1 species
GACAGAGGUGCCAAGCGUUAGGCGGAAUCACUGGGCUUAAAGCGUGUGUAGGCGGGUGCCUAAGUGCCUUGUGAAAUCCCACGGCUCAACCGUGGAACUGCUGGGUAUACUGGGUGCCUUGGGUCAUCUAGGGGCUGCCGGAACAAAUGGUGGAGCGGUGAAAUGCGUAGAUAUCAUUUGGAACGCCAACGGCGAAAGCAGGCAGCUGGGGAUGCACCGACGCUGAGACACGAAAGCCAGGGGAGCGAACGGG